CCCUUCUCAUUUACCAGUAGACUUGAUUUUCCCUGUGGCUUGCUUUUUUCUGACAACACAUUGCAAACUCCUUUCAGAAGAAGCUUCGCCUGGUAGUUCAAACAGUUCUAGCUUGACAAAUCUCUAGUCUUUUGGCAAAAUCAGAGUGGUGCCCAUCUUAUAGGGAGAAGAACAGCCACCUAAGGUGAUCAAGUACCUUAUAGUGGAUGGCGUUACCAUAUCGUACAAACUGAGCGGACCCCAGAGACUAGGGCCAGCCAAAGAUGACAUCUUAUUCUUCCUUUGGGAAGAAUGCCAAAUAUCAACACACCGUUUUUCAGCUGCUUCACGGUACUUCAACUCAGACUUUCAGCUGGCCUGGUUGAUCAGAAUGUGAUAGAGAAGCAUCAUUUUUAACAGCAAAAAAAGAGAAAACAUGUUCAAUGUCUGUCAUUGGGUUCUAGUUAAUUUAAUUAUGGUACAUCCAGACAAUGCUAUGCAGCCCUUAAAAAGAAGGACAGAGAUCUAUGUGUGCUACUAUGGGAAGACAACAGAAACAGAUGUUAAUGGUGCCCCACGCCACACUCUUUCAGUCCUAACCUCAGCUGCAGCUGUGGUAGACAGCUCCCGUACAUGCUGAUGGCUUCCCAGCUCAAGUGCCAGCUGCAGUCUCUCAGCUUUUCUACCCCAGAGCUUUCUCCAAAGUGAGGAACUUUCUCAGCCCUCCCAGAGUAGACAGGAAGUACUGGGGAAUCAUCCUCUUGAGGCAACCCUAAGCAAAUGGGGGAUGUCUCCCAUCCUUUGGGGGAAUAAUUCUGAGGCACAUUCUACAUGGUUACUUAGAGUCUCCAUGACAUUGAUCCCUAGAAUAGAUCCCUAGGCCAAAGCACCAGUCAUCUCAAUGAUCCUACUUUUAUUGGUUUUCCCUCCUUCUCCGUAUUACUCUCCUUAAUAUUUCAUUCCAGAUUCUUGGAAUUACCUUAAAAAAAAAAAAAAAAAGAAAGAAAGAAAGAAAGAAAAGAAAAAAAACAACUACCUGGUCCUAAGUCCUUUACUCAAACUCUGCUUUGGGGACAAACCCAAACAAAGAUAAUGUCCAUUGGAGAGGGACAUGAAUCACAUUGUAUAAUUGCAUGCAUGGUAGUUCCCAUUUGUGCAAAAACAAAACAGAACACCACAACAAAAGAAAAUUAUAAGUGAUGUGUGUAUAUGUUUAUAUAUACUUAGAAAUAAAAGCUUUAGAAGGAAUCUCACCACCUAUAAUAGUGGUUGCCUCUGGGACUGAGACAGUUAAGGGAAAAAGAGACAGGGACUUGUCAUUUUAACUUUGUAUACUUCUGUACUAUUUCAAGGUUUAAAAGAAGAUGUUACUUUUGUAAUUAAAAAAUAAAUUAAAGUGGGGUGGAGGCAGUAGUCAUUUCCUUGUUCUUGAAGCUUCUCCUUCAAGCUGUGAGCUGUACUGUAGAAAGAAGAGUAACCACACAGAGACACAACUACUCCCUGUCUUUAAAACAUAAUUGGUGAUCAUCCAAACUGAAACCAUCUUUAGAGAAAAAUCCCACAGUAGGGAAAAAUUCUUUUGGAGACCAGUCUUAAUGGAAGGUCAAUUAGCUUCUCAGAUUUAUUCUGGAGGCCUCUAGUGUAACGGAGAGCACAAUAUCUUAAUUAUACAUGUUCCAUUGGGCCUUCCUGCGUGGAUUCUGUGUAAGAUUGGGAAAAAAUCUGGCCAUAGUUUUUCAUCCCUUCCUCUAUCAGUGCCCUCCACCAUGUCAGUUUUAGUGACCUCAACUCUUAUGCUGGGCUUGGUCAUGUGACUGGCUCUGGUCAAUAGGAUGCUAGCAAAUGUGACACAGCAGGACCUUGAAAAGUACUAGUGCAACUCUUUUUCGUUUCUUUUGCAUUUUUUAUGGAGGUAGAAUCAACAUACAAUAAAAUGCACAAAUCUAAAGUGCUCAGUGUGAUGAGUUUUGACAAUUGUAUAAACCCAUGUGUUCACUAUCCAAAACAAAGUAAGAGCAUUUCCAUGUAAGCUCCCCAUGCCUCUUUUCAGUCAACUGCCUUCCCCACCCCCAGACACCACUAUCUGAUUUCUAUCAUCGUAGAUUACUUUUGCCUUUAUUUCAAUUUCAUAUAAAUGAAAUUAUAGAGAGUGGACCUGUUAUUCUGUCUGAUUUCUUUUUGCUUCACACAAUGUAUUUGAGAUCUAUCAUGUACGGCUACACCAAAAUUUGCUUAUCCUUUCUCUUUUUGAAGGGUGUUUGGGUUGUUUCCAGUUUGGGGCUAUUAUAUAUAAAGCUGCUACAA